CCCUGGUCGUGUGUGGCAGGUGACAGUCGCGGGCGCUGAGCAGGGACCAGACUCCGCUCGCGCUCCUCGUCCUGAACGCGCUGACUGACUGGAAGGUGUCGCCGCCCCGCGUGCCCCCCGAGGAGGAUGUGCAGGGUCCUGGGUGCAGUCUGUGCUGACUCAGGAGUCUCUACAUUCUGAGGCUGUCACCACCCCUGCAUUAAAAACAGCACCAAGUUCUACCUACAGGAAUAUGCAUCCCUCUUGACUUUGGUCUUAGCCAUGUGCUCCCUUGAGCAAUGAGAUGUUUUGCACCAUUUGGUUUACCCUCUUUUGCUGCUUGUAUUACCUAAAAGACCUGGGCCUGGGUAAUUUCUGGCUCUUCAGUCUGGGCUUCAAAAUGAACACACAUAGGGCAGUCAUGAAUUUUACCAACUCAACUAAGAGGAAGACUCAUAUUUGGUACAGUUUCUCUGCUUCCAAGAGCAGUGGGAGUGUCCAAGACUAGGAUAGGGAGCACAAGCAGCUGAACAACUCUCCUUUUAUGCUGUCCCUGCAGCAUUCUAACAGGCCAAGAAACUUGGAGGUAUCUCAUUGAAAGUGACUGGGAAUGAUAAGAGGUUGGGCUAUAUGGGUGAUUUAAUGUCAAAAUUUAUAUAUGAUUUUUCUUUUACAAUUCUAUAUAUCACUCUAUUGUCUAAAACAAACAUGUUGACUUAAAAUUAGAAAUAAUUGCUAUAAUUAAAACAUUGAAUAAAAUUUAAAUUUUAAAGAUUAAAAAUGUAUAUAUUCUCUAAAGUCCUAUCAGUCAAAGAAAAUUAUAGGUGAGAAUUGAAUUGUUAUAGAAAAGAAAACUUUAAGAGCAAAAGAAAGGAAUGAAUAUUUAUAAUCCCCAAACAUUGCAUAUGUGUUUUCUCUACUCUUAUUCUGACAUUUUGCCAAAUUUUUAAGUUGCUUCCAAUUUAUUUGCCCUUUUGUCUCUUUAUGUUUUCCAGUUCUAUCUCUUUAUCACAUGGAGCCCCUAACUUUAAAUUUUUUAACCACAAAGUAUUAGAGGAAAACUAAUAAUCGUUUAAUAUAAAACCUUCAUUUUACAUAUAUAUGUCUUGGGCUCAAACUUUCAUCCAUCUAUCCAUCCACUCAUGCAGCAACUCAUUCACUCAACCAGCAAACAUUUAUCAAUGGUUAGUUCUGAGUGACAUAUUGUACAGUGGUCCCGUUUAUUGCAGGGGAUACGUUCCAAGAUCCCUAGGGGAUGCCUACAAUCGUGGAUUGUACCAAACCCUAAAUAUACUAUGUUUUUUCCUACACAUUUAUACCUAUGAUAAUGUUUAUUUUAUAUACUACACACAGUAAUAGAUUAAUAACAAUAACUAAUAAUAAAAUAGAAUAGUUAUAACAAUAUACUGUACUAAAAGCUAUGUGACUGUGGUCUCUCUCUCAAAAUAUCUCAUUGUACUGUAUUCGCCUUUCUUCUUGUGAUGACGUGAGAUGAUACAAUGCCUACGAGAUGAGGUGAACUGAGAAGAAUGACGAAGGCAUUGUGACACAACAUUAGGCUACUAUUGACCUUUUGAGGAUACAUGAGAAGGAGGAUCAUCUGCUGCAGGAUACAGUGAGAAGGUGGCCAUUUAGAAGCCAAGAAGAGUGCCCUUACCAAGAACCAAAUUUGCCGGCACCAUGAUCUUGGACUUCCCAGCUUCCAGAACUGUGAGAAAUAAAUGUUUAUUGUCUAAGCCACCCAGUCUAUGGUAUAUUUUUGUUAUAGCAGCUGGAAAUGACUAAGACAUUUUAGCACAAAAAAGGACAGGUAGCUGUGAAAGGGCCAUCAAUGACCCUAGGCCAUAGAGGAAAGAUGUGGGCACCAGUGACUUUUUAAUGAUCAGGAACAAACUGCUUCUUUUUCUUAACUGCUCCUCUGUGCUCUCCCAAACUUUCCUUUGAAAUUAAGUAACAUUGAAAAAGAAGAAUGAGUAUAAUAUAACAAAAUAGAUAAAUAGCCAAUGUGCAAAUGUUUACAACAAAAACCACCCAUACUCUCACUACUUAGAGGUAAUCAUUGCACAUAUUUUGAAAACAUAUACCUUUCCAGGUUUUUGUGUGUUUGCCUGUUUCUAUGUGAGAUGGUAGUUGGCCUGGGGCAGAAGGAGGGGUUAGGGAGAAAGUAAGGAAGGGAGAAGGGUCAAACUGCAAUAUAUCUUACAAUCCAGUCUCCCAUUUAGCAAUACACAGUCAACAUCUCUGCAUGUUUUCAAGUAUUCUUCACCUAUUUAGAUCAUUACUUAUUCAUAAUAUUGUAGGGAUUUUAUGUUUUCUCUAUUACAAACUGCAUGUUAUUGAACUUCUUUCAAACUACUUCUAUUCAUAUAACAAUAGUUAUUUCCUUUGUAAAAACUCCUAAAUUUCUGUCUCAAAACAAGUAUGCAAAAUUUUGUGCAGAUCUCAUUCUCUUACCACAGAGCUAUGGGUAGAAAUUAAAUGCAAAUGAUAAAAAUAAAUUAUAAUAAAUAAUAAGCACCUCUCAGAUUUUUCAAGUCACAAAUUAAGUCCUUUCCUGCUUUGUACUUAAAGUUGAAAUCCCUCCAAAGUGCAGAAAGCUUCAUCAAUCCUCUCUAGGAUGCCUUUUUUACUGACGUGGCCAACUGACUUGCUGACAGCAGCAUGUCUGCUAAAACAGAAGGGCCUAUAAUCCCCAAACCAGGAUUUCACACUCACGCACAGCAAAAGCUACUUAGGCAAAGUACUUACACAAAGCUUCAUCACAGGCUCUGGUGUCUCCUAUCAAUGAAUAGCACUAGGAGGCACAGUGGACCUAAAUCAGGACAGUUUGUGCUUCUCACCUUUUAAAUGCUCCAUAUUUCCCUUUCCUGUCUAGGUCCCCCAGAGCCUAACGUCUGUACUGGACUGGCAUAGUCAGUUUUGGGUUAUGAGUCUGUAUUUUCUAUUUAAAAUUCUCUAAAGUAAAUUAUUAAAAUAAUUAUCAUUUUAAACCAGAGUUUCAUUCAAUUUGAUAGUCAAAGUUAAUAACUUCAAGUCAGAUGGCCAUGAAUAUAAUUUCUUUUGUCAUUCAAAAUAUUGAGAUUAACAAUUAAGACCAAGUAACACCGAAACUGAAACACAGACAAGGCAGUGGAUUGUCAACAAUAAUUACAGAAAGAAGUACAAAUGGCAAUGAGCAAGGAAGAAAUAAGCAAUGAGUGUGGGUUGGUCUGAGAAAUACAGUAGAAAUGUCAAAAAAAAACACCAAAAAACCUUAAGCGUAAUUCAUUAAAUGAAUGAGAGGCGUACCACACAUGCUUGGCCCAAAGAAGCCACAAAGGGGUGCUGUGGAUCUCCUCAGAGGCCUGGAGGAAGUUUCAAGUGGUUCAAUUUACUGGAUCCUGGACACUUGUUCACUGGUCCUCCUGAGAGGUUACAGCAGCUGUUUCCUCCCACAGGGCAAACCAAGAGCUCACAGGCACCCCAGGCCUCCCAUGGACAAUGGAGCUGCUUCCUGGGCCAAGGGUCCAGAAUUGGGGAGGGAAAGGGGUAGUUAAUGGCUGAUGUUUAAGGGCUUAGAUUUGUCCAAUGUAUCACAAACACUCAACCUUUAGCGAGAGAGGUGAGGUAGUAUUAUAAAAGACUCAUCAGACGGUCCAACACUAGCUGUGGAUUCAGCGGGUCCUUGGAACAUGUGCACCAUGGCCUUGACUCCUCUCCUUCUCCUUCACUGUCUAGGUUCAUGGAAAUUUCAGAGACCAGUCUUUGAAGUGAUUCCCUGUGUCUUCCUCCUCAUUCCUAAUGGGUGUCUGUGUU